rnacentral:lncRNA from 1 species
CUGCACUUAUGUGGGUGGUUUCUUUCAGCUCUUCUGGUCCUCCUUUGAUGGCUGACUCCUGUCACUUAGGAUCAAGACACAAAUCUCAGUGACACCGGCAUAAACAAGCUGACAGGAGGAUACGGUUUAAGAAUUUACAAGAUUUCUAACUGCCAAUAGGCCAGACAUCCUCAGGCAAGCACCUUCUCUCCCUGUAGGCAAGGUCUUCUGACUGUGCAGUCCUGCCCACGCAUUCCAGCACGUAUGUCACACUCUGUCAUGAUGAGGAUGACUAUCAACAUUCACAUUAAAGAGCUCAUCAUUUAUUUUGCCAUGAGUUACCUGUUGCGUGGCUCACUCUUUCC